GGAGAUGAACCGUCCCCACAGGAUAUUACGACUUAUUCUUCUGAUAUUAAUGCGCAGUAAAGACCGGAGGGUGAGUUUGAUGAUGGCCGUCCAGCGGUGUAUCAGCAGCUUGGUGAUGUUGUGAUGGGACUCUGUAGGUACGUGAGGCUGUUGGGCUGGCUGUGCGUCACCACUGACACGGGGAAGCUGAAGAUGGAGGAAGACUUGGGGCCUAGAGUGGCGGAAGGGCUGGCGGCCUCUACAGAACAGGAAGUGGCCAGGACCUGCGACUCAAACUGCAGGAGCUGACCCAUGAA